CCGUCGUUUGCUGUUCCGCUAAACUUCAAACUUGGCAACACCGUUUGCACUUUGGCCCUAGCGUCUAAUAUCUUUUUUUCUGUUUUCAGUAGACUUUUUCUUUGUACAAACAUUUUCUCUGAUCCAACACCUCCUGCAGCUCUGGCCAACUCUGGGUCCUCCCAUACUCCUCCCCCGAGCCUGGAGCUGAGGUCAGAGAAGCCCGGGACAGCCACGAAGCCGGGGUCCUCGCGCCCCAACCACCACAGUUAAGGAUUCUGAUACGUUACCAAACCGCCACCCAGAAAGGAAUUGCAAUGUGAACUCCUACCAGAAAUCACAAAAAGGUAAAGGCAGCCUGAAAGCCAUACUCAAAUUACCUGCUACCAUCCAGGAUGCCAAGCUGACCAGAGUCAGAGUCUGGCUCCUCCCACCUAGAACUCACCCUUAUUUUCAGGCCGGCCUCCCUGCCUGCAGGGGUGACUGAAGUCCAGAGCUUUGCCACGGAGAGGAAACCUCCAAUGGUCUACCCGUGCACUGUGAAUCACACUUGCAAGGCGGAUGGAAAACUGAGCCCGGCAGGCAAGGGAAGCCUCCAGCAUGGCAGGGGGCAUGGCCAGGAGAUGUUCACUCCUCCAGGCUAUGGAGAUUUGGAAGGAAAGAUUCCAGAGACCCCUAAAUUAGGCCACGUAGAGCUUGCCAUGCAGGGGGCUGCAAGAACUAGCCAGCUGCCAUUGCCAACAAAGAACCCACCUGGACCCUGGAGCUCCAUGUCCUCUUUACCUAAAAUACAGUGAGUGCUUGACUUCUCCAGGAGUGCGAAUCGCCACUUCGUGUUUGUCUUCAAAGUCGUGCAGAUUGCUUUUGGAAACCUUGAAGCAGCGAUUUCUUCCUGUGCAGUUGAACCUGAACUUCCUAAAGAAGCUAAGAUUGGGCCCCUGGUGGUCUUGGCCAGUUCUUAGACAAUCAGGCUGUAGCCAGGUCCUUUGGGCAGAAUCACUAGCCAGCACAGGUCUGCGCUGCCCAAUGGGGAUGGAUUUCCUUUUGGACGUACCUCAUGGAAGCUGGUUUGUCUGGAGCGCUGACACUUGUGCUACCAUCUGGGUGGAGGGAGAGACCACAGGGAGGGCUGUGCCUGUGCCGGGCAGGGAGACGACCUCACAGCUGUUCACCAUGGAGCAUCCUAGGCCCUGCUAACCUGAAUGGAUGUUUCAUCAAGGCUGGCUGUCCCACAAGUGGGGGAUUCCUGUUGUAACGUGUGCUGGUGGAAGGGCCACUGUUCCUGGAGGAGAUGGUGGGAGAUGAUGGAUGGGAGGGGAGGGAUGUCUUAUUUCUGUCAGACUGGCUUGGAGCUGGCGGGCAGAGUCAGGCUGCUGUCCUCCACUCCAUCUCCUCGUCCUCGGGAUCUGUGGUGUUCCUCUGAGGAUUCUAAGAGGAGCAAUAAGAGAUGGAUGGCAGGCUGCUAAAACCAUACCCCAUGAGGUUAGCAGGCAGCCGGAGUUGUACCUGAUGGGCUGGGGGAGGUGCGCUGUUGUUGGUCCCAUCACCUGGGCUGCGUCUUCAGGUGCCAGGGUAGCUGUCCAGCUCAGAGUUUAGAAGAGCUCAGGAGAAGACAUAGGAAGCCAUUAUCUCAUCGAAUUUCCAGCCCAUUACGAAGUCCUGUGUGUAACCUUGAAGACAGGGUGUGCCCCCGACAUACUGCUUCAGUUCCUCACCUUGGUGACCCACAUUUAUCAAUGGGUCCAUCGCAGUGUUCUCCUCACUGAGACUGAGAAUGAACGAGUUGGUCUUUGAAUGUAUUCUUCUCACCAGAGCUACAUAGGACGGAUGCCAUGUCUCCUGCGUAGCACCUCUCUGGCAAUUCCCUGAACCUCUGGAGGUCAGACGGUGGGAACCCCACUUACCAGUGCAUGCAAGUCCCAGGCUCUGCACAGCUGCUUUAGGAGAAUUCCAGGCCGUCUCAGAAAGCAUCCAGCUUGUUGUAGAAGACACGUUUGCUGUUGAAGCCACAGUUUGCAAUCUUGAUGUUCACGCCAGCAUCCGAGGGUUUGUCUGUAAGGACAAUGAGCUUCUGGUGGCCACAGCAUGCACACUAGACACUAGUGUUGGAAUUUUCAACCGGCCUCUGUGUUCUCUCCCACUGGCACGAGGCACUAGGUAUCCAAAUACCACUCACCCAUCAGCGGGCUUCAUAACAAGGCCUUUCUAGUGUCUGUCACUUCAAACAUUCCAUUCUGUUGGGAUUAUUGGAGCCUUCGUGCAGCCUUACACCACAGAGUGUUCUCUGGGCUCGUUCCUGGCCGUGAGGAGGCACCGCGUUGACUUUACCUCAGCUGGGUUAUCUUUGCCGAGGAUUUUCAGAAGCAUGGCUGCCUGUGUGGAUCUCUCUUCAGCAGAUAUGGCUGAGGGGCCUUGCAGCUUGUCGGAUUUCCUGCGGGGCUCAGAGUCAAGGCCCCCCAGCGUCAGCUUAAAUUUGAGAAAAGUAUGCAUCUGUUUCAAGCCACCUCAGGGGAAAACCCGAAGUUCACCCGGUGAAUUGACCUUUACAGUGGGAAUAAAAUACAAUGCUGGAUGAAACGUAAAUUACAAAAUAGUUUUCAAAGGAAAAAUUGAUUAAGAGAAAAAUUUAAAAGAAUAAAACUAGGAAGAGCACUAAGAGAGCCAAUAAACUAGUCCCAGCCAGAGACUCACAAGUGCUUGGGACUGUAAAAUGAUAGCUUCAUCCAGGGUCACAGGAAGAGGGACCCUAAUCAAUAGUGGAGUUCUCAAAUAGCCCCUUUCUCCUAAGAAAAUUGUUCAGGGUCCCAAAGAGCUUUUGUUUUUUAUGUGGGUUCUGACUACCAAUGUUUAUCUUAUUAGAAGUGACAACCCCAGAGCGGCCACACUUAAAACACUGGGUUUCAAAGCCACCCCACGGUUUAACUAGCCCUGCGACAAAGUGACACAGUAAAGUUACUUUAGUAUCAGACUAAGCACGGAGGGGGUGAUCGCAGUCUGCCCGGUUCCUUUAGAGUAGACUCUUUCUUUCCCAGAGCUUUAGAAGCUCCUCGUUCAGUCUCAGCAUCUUGAAAUGAAGCUAGGUACAAAGGAGAAGGCCCGCAGCCCCAGCUACUCAGAGGCUGAGGCAGGAGGAUCCCUUGAGACCCGGAGCCCAUGGCUAGCCUGGGCAACAUCGUAAGACUCGGUGUCUGAGAAAACAGUCAGUAGAAACUGCAUCUGUGAAUUGAGAAAACACAUCACCGUUUUCUUUUUUUGACUCAACAAUGUGUUUUGUUCCAAGAGUCUCUCACCCAGCUCAGCGUGGGAUGGUGCAUCCAAGCACUGGACUCAUCACCUUGGCUACUUCCACAAACAUUUUUAUUGAAGCAUAAUACUGACACAGAUAAGUGCCAACUGUCAGUACAAAGUUCUAUGACUAUUCAUAAAUGGGACACACCUAUUUAACCAGCAUUUGGAUCAAGUGUGACACUACAAUAUGGCGUCCUGAGAUCUCCUUUUCCAGUCAGUGGGUUCUCUCUUCUCACAGCAUUGGUUAGUUUAGCUUGUUUUCAUCAUUAGACAUGUAGAAUCACAAAUUGAA